rnacentral:lncRNA from 1 species
CCCCAAUUACCCUCACCAAACUCGUCACCACUCUCUCACCCCUCUCUCACCACCCGUGGUCUCCGCCGCCGGUACCCUACGACGGCGGACAGUCUCCAAACGACCCCAAAUCGUCACCACACAACCUCCAUCCUCCCCUCAGUCUAAAUCCCUCAUUAAUUUUCCCAAAAAAUCGCCCAAACUCCGUGAAUUUCAAAUGUGGAAAUCUCAAAAAAAAACCUAGCUUUACCCUUUCUUUGUUUUCUGGCAAUACCAAUUCGACUUGACUUAGAACCUACCUCGAUCGAUUAUUCUUAAUAAGAACAAUCGAUUGACAUUGGUUUUGGCUCAUUUCGAAGCCACCGGAGUUCCGACAGAAAUACUAUCACCGACCUCCAUGGUUUUUCUCCUGGUUUCGACCUAGUUCAAAAUGGUAAUGCUUUCUUGUUUCCUUUAUGUAUUUCUUGUCAGUAGCCAUGUUCGUAUUUAGAGUUCACUUCAGAUUGUAUUUGUUUAAACAUUUGGUUUUGUUUCGGUUUCUGAUGUUUCGUUAUUCAUGACUUGUUUGUUCUCAGAUUAGUUUAGUCGUAUGCGUUUUAGGAUAAUUGAAUCAAGCUUAAUUAAUUUCUUAAUUUAGCUAGGUUUAAUUGGUAAACGUUUAAUAUUGAUCUGUCUUGUUUGUUCGUUGAUUUGGUUUUAAUUGGUUGCAACAGACUUAGAUUGAUUUUUGCUGUUUGAAUGUCAAAAGGGUUUGGGGGAUGAACGUUUAUUAACAGGAACUUAAGGGGUUUAAUUAGGAAGAAAAUCAGGGAAUUUUGUUUGGUCACACAAGAAACUUCUAGAUAAUGGACAACUAUCCCAAGUUGUUAAUGAAAAUAUUGAGAAUGAGAUAAAACAUUUAGAAAUAGGACAGUUGUCCAACAAUUGGUUAAAAAAGAUGUUUUAUCCCAAAAUUUUAGCUGACAGAUUCUUUUUUCUAGACUUUCUCAUUCUCCCUUAUAGCACACACAUAGCCUAUAUAAUAAGGAUUUUCAUUCUGCAUUCAGCGAUGGGGAGUCAUACAGCACAUAGGGAUCUCUUUUUCAUCUCCUCUAAAAGCAAAAGCCAAUUUUUUUUUGGAAUUCAAAGUGACUUCCAAAUUUGGAAAACUAAAAUCUCAGGAGUUGCUUCUAUGACUAUAUCGUUUCAUUCCAUUGGUUCCUGAUUUUGCUAAAGUUAGUUUUGGACUGAAUUUGAGGCCUUCCUCUGGGAUUUACUGAUGUUGGUUGCCGUGUUGUUGAUUUUUCAUCAAGCUAUUGUGGAAUCUUGUGUUUAGCUGCCUCUCAAGUUCAGAGAUUUAUUUUCUGUUCCUUUUGUUUUGCUGCUACUAAGGUAUUGCUUUGACCUCUUGUAGAUGUAACCGUGUCUUGAAGUAAUGGAAUACCUAAUGCGAUUGUAGUUGCAUAGUGUUUUGUUUUGAGUAUAGAUCAUUGUGUGUUCUUAUAUGUUUAACAUGUAUGAGUCUGAUUCUGUUAGCCAUGUGAUUAAGGUUAAGUUGUCACAGUCAGCUAAAAUCUACACUAAUGUGCUCAUCUAUGUUUUCUGUUGAAGUGUUUAUGGCUUGACUGCCAUUGUUUGAGUUAAUGGUAUAGGGUGCAUUGAUACUACUGUCUAAGACAUGUUCAGAUUCAUUUAAGCAGUAAACACACGCUUGAAAUAGUGUCAUUUCUUCAUUUUAAGUGUUGGCUCAUGAAAUUAAUGGUGUAAUCUUGAUUUGAUAUUAGCAUGUGGAGGCAAGGGCCAGUCAGUUAUUGGAUUUGAUCACUAGUUGAUCAAAUCCAUUACUGGAUAAAUUUUUGGACCCAAAUCAGGCAGUAAUGAAGUGAAUGAAGUGCUGGGGUUUCAGGCUGAUUAAGUUAACUAGCCCAGGCGUGACCGGAAUAGGGGCAUAGCUUUCAAUUAAUGAAAUUGAAGGUUAUGGUUAUUAUAGCAAUUCAUCAAGUGUAGCAAACUCAGUCAGUUAGGAUUAUGUAGUUUUUUUUUGGCACUCCGCUAGGCAAGCGCCUAGGGCUAGUUUUUUAUUAAUAACAGAAAAAAGNNNNNNNNNNNNNNNNNGUUGUUUUCCUGAACCGUGUUCAAAACGUAAUCAAAAAACAUCAUUUCUUUUUUGGACGGUUGGACCUCGUUGACGUAGUUGGGGCAGCCUUCUUUUGUUUGACAACUCUCAUUGGAAAGUCGCCUAACAUUUAGAAAAUCACUAACCUUGUCGUCCCAACUAUUUUUCCUUGUAUGUGCUUUCUUUAUUUUGCCGCUCUGCAUAGGUGAUAAAUCGCCUUGUUUUGCUGCAUGUGACCGACAUUCUUUCAAAACAACAUCUUCUUCUCCUUCCUCAUACAUAUCUCUACCCACAUUCACAGGAUGCGGAUAGUUGUCGACGAGGUCCUAUGUCAUCAAUGCAUUUCCUUAUUGUGUAUUUGCCAAAGCUGUCGUGUUGUGAUGUUGCUUUAUGACUUGCAUUUUAUUCCUGUUUUUACUCACAUUUCCUGUACUAACAAUUUGCAUUGAACUUUCUGAGUUUCGAUGUGUAGAGUCUGCCAAUGCAUCAAGCAGUUUUCUAUCUUCCUCAGAAAUCAUAGGAGUACUGGAAUCCUGUUGUUUCUGUCCAGCAUUUGAGUUCAUUAUUGUAGUACUUGGUGUGCUUUCAAGUUGUUGUUGUUGUCCAGUCAUAUUGCUUACAGUAAUAGCUGUUUUGGUUGUCACCACAUAUUGCUGCCCAGAUUCAGUAACAACUCCAGCUGCUUUGUUUGCAAUGAGUUGCUGCUGCUGCCCAGAUUCAGUAACAACUUCAGCUACAGUUGUUGAAUUGAGUUGCUGCUGCUGCCCAGAUUUCUUUGCUAUUGCUUUUCCUUUCGAUUCAGCUUUUGUGCAUCUUUGUUGUUGCUCAAUGUUGGGGAUGAAUUCCGGAGCUGUGGCAUUAAGCCUGCGACUGGAUCCUAGCUUGGAGGAACUUCCAACCUUUGGCAAAUUUGGUGAGAAUACUGUCUCUUCAUCACCACUACACAUCUCACCUUCUUCAGCAGAAUCCCUCACAAAUUGAAUUUCCAGAUCUUCUUCAUCAUCAUAUUCACACUGAUCAACCCAUUGCUUAUAGUUAACUGCCAUCUCCCCCACAAAGCCAGCACCCCAGUAUUCAUCAUCAUCAUCCUCAUGUUGGUCAUCCCAAAAUUUGGAUUUAAUACCUUACUCUCCAAACGUUUCCAAAGAUUGUGAUGGUAUUUCAAAGACGAAUUUGUUCAAUGUCACAGUUGGUGGAUUAACCAUAUUGGUGUUCAUUAUCAUUGCAUUUUGCGCGUCUUUAAUGAUUUUUUCCAUAUGUAGACUGGAAAAAAGUAGUGUUGGAAUGUUGGAACUUUGGGCUUGUUUAGCUACUAGCUCGUUGCGUAGGACAUUUGUUUCACUUGUAGUGCAUGGAACAAUUUGCUGUUGAACCAUAGUACCAUUUAGUGUUGAUGAGUUGAUUCCAAUUUCCUCCUCAUGUACAAGUGCAUCAAAAGAAUUUGGAGUGAUUAUAUCCUGUCGAAAUGCUGGUACACUCAAAUGUUGUUGCUUAGCCUUCACAGCUGGAGAUGUAUCUUGUCGACUAGGAGAUCUCAUCACAUCUAUCCAAUCAUCUGCAAAUUUUUUCGACUGCCCAGCUUGUUCCUGUUCAUUAGAACCUGCUGGUUUUUCUUCAGCCAUGAUAGCAUUUGUUCCAUUAUAUACAUUCACUACACCUUGAACACUAAGAGUUUGAAUCCCUGCUUUAGCUCGAUCACCAGCUGAAAUUCCAACCCUCAAAGGAGCUGCUGGAACAGCAGCAGUUGCAUGAUGGUCCACCCAAUUUUGAGGCUGCGUAAGAUCCUUGAUCACUGCCUUAACACUCUUUGGAUCAGUUUUGCUUCGAGCCCCUUGGCGAUUCUGCCCAAAAAUUGUAACAGCUGAAUCAGUAGCAAUGUUCAAAGCACCAGCUGUAGCUUCUUUCAUUCGUUCAAAAACUUUUGUAGCAGGUAUAUCAGCUGGGAGUUUGGCUUUCUUAGGAGUAGAUACAUCCCCUACUACUAACCCUUGUUGCUUAUUGCCAGUAGUUAAAUCAACCACUUGCACACCUAUUCGAGUACCAGCAGGUAUACAUUCACCAUCUCUCUUUUGUCCAGCAUUAGGUACCACUAAAUCACCAUUUUCCUUUUCAUUAACUGUAAUACAUUGUUGUCCUCCAUUAGGUUGCAAAAUCACCUGUUGUACACUAGUAGAAGCAGGAAAAUCCAUCAACCUCCUAUCCUCAACAGUCUGUUGUUUCUGUACCUGGUCCACGAAUAAACCCUCAACCUUAUUCCCAACUUGAUCUUGCACUUGUUGGACCUGUAUGUCAUCAAUCUUCGUGUUCACAACCACUACUACCAUCAUUCACAGUGGCCUUCAAAGUAUGUUGCUGCCCAGAAUUUGUAUUUUUUUCAGGUCCUUCAAUGGGCUGUUGGUUAGCUCUUUUUUAUUCAGAUAAUCCCUUGCAUCACCCUGUAGUUUCUCCAUUACUCUUGUUGCAUCAGCUUCGUCCUCCACAUGUUCAUCAUGUACUACUCGUUUUUUCCUAAAAGGAUGCGACAAUUAGAUUCGUCAUGUCCUUGAUGCUUGCAGUGAUUACAAUAUAGAGGUAAAUUAUCAUAAGUAACUUGUUGAAGCUGUUCAACGAUCUUUCCAGUUCCUUCAUCAACAUAUUUAAGCCUUAUUUGUUCUGGAUGCUUGUCCAAAAUGUCAAGGAUCACCUUGACCCUAGUUGUACUUGGCCUAGACCUAAGUUGAGUAGCCUUAUCAAUAGCAAUAGGCUUUCCAACAGUUGCUGCAAUGGACAUUAAAGCACGCCUGGCAAAUAAUUCAGGGGGUAAACUUGGAAACGAAAUCCAUACCGCUGCCAUAUGUGUUUCUUCUUUUGGGUUGUAUCCAAUCGUCCAUGGGAAUACUCUAACCUGGUGUUCUUUUUCUUUGCUCGUAAAAUAAGUAACUGACCUGGUGAGACAAAUUACGAAGUCGUCGUAAUGAUCCAGUCGUAUGAGUAAUUGUCUUUGCGCUAGAAGACCAAUCAAACAUUGGCCUUUGACACCAAACAGUUUUGGCAAAAUUGUACGCAAGUCUUGCAAGUCUGGAGCAUUAGGAGAAACCUUCACGACAAUGGCUUGAUGCAAACCUUCCUCCCUUGCAAAAUCUUCCCGUUCCUCCAUUGUAAACAGUAGCGUUGGGAUUCCAUGAACUACUUCGCUUGGCUUCAAAGUUGUUUUUGUAACUUGUCCUGCUGUUUGGUUAUUGAUCAAACUAGCUGCAUAUGAAUUUGGAGGGAUGAAUUUAGAUUGCUCUCCCACAGCCAAAGGCUGGGGAGAGGACGAUGUAUUCAUAAAGUUCUUCAAAACUCCAUUGAAAGAAGAAGAAACUAACGAAAAGUUAUACUUGCUACAGUAACCGGGUAAGAAAUUUUAAGAUCUGUUUCAAUUGGCUAUAGAUCUAAGCACAAAACCAAUUGGGGAUUGUGCGCAUAGAGAAGAUGCUUCUAUUAACACCAAAAUUACGAGAAUCCACCGCCGGAUGUCGGAUUUAUGGCUCGUGAAUAGUAAUGGAUUUACUAUUCACCCUUCUCUUCUCUUCAAGUCCAUAGAGUAGUUUUGUUUCUUAUUAUAGUUGUAAUCUAAUUGAAAAGCCAUUUAGUUGUAAUUUGAGGUUUCCUUUAUAUGUGUAGUUCAUCUUUAAUUCCUGAGUAUUUGUUUGAUAAAUUGGUUCAAAUUUGUAUUAUGAAUGUUUAAGAAAUUGUUUCGUUUUUUUCCAUUGGUAAUAGAGACCAAAGGAAAUUCAGUGUUUGGACUAAGGCUGUCCAACGGGACGGCCCGUCCCGCGUCCGGUCCCGGCCCGGCCCGACCCAAGUUAAACGGGAUGGGCCAAUGUUAAACGGGACACGGGAUGGGACGGGACGACCAUUUCGUCCCAUUUAUCCUGUCCUGUUUUGUCCCCUCCCGCCCCGUCUGUCCCGUCCCAUCUUGUCCUGUCUUGCCUGUCCUGCGAGUCUUUAUGGUAUAUUUGUGGAAUUUCUGUUGUAUUUGGUUAGUAUAAAACAAAUCCAACUUAUGCACCGACAUUAAUGAAAUGAUUGUAAAAUUUAAAAAGUAUUUUUUUUCUCUAUUCCCUAAGUUUAUUUAAUUUCUACAAUACUUAAUCCAUAUUUAAAAUUAAGAGGUGCAAAGUGACUUGUUCGUAAAAUUUAUCAAAAUUUAGCAAUUCAAGAAUAUGAACAACCAUCUCUCUAAGACAUCCAAGCUAACAUAUAUUCUUUUGUUAGAAUCUAGGUCAAUGUUUGAUAAAUAUAAAUCUAUAGAAACAACAAGUGGUGAAACUGCUCCUUCUACUUCUAAGUCUAGAGUAGAAAUUCUUAUGGGAAGAUAUUGAUGAUAUAACAUGUUUUGAUUCCUCUACUGAUGGUGAACUUGAUUCUUAGCACCAGAGAAUGCUUUUAGCGCAACAAUAUUUCAAAUCGGAGAUCAUAGACAUUCAUUAGCAGAGGACAACCUAGAGAUUUCCGUAUUAUUCAGAGAUUGGAUUAAUGCAGAAAGAAGAAAUUUUGGUUUUGAAAAAUUAACACUAGGGAAGAAGAAAAAUACAAUGAGAUACUUAGCAUUGGGACCGAUGACGGCAUGGAGCUCAUAGAACAUUAAUCAACAUUCAACACUGCCAAUUCCACAACAACGUCCGAGAGAUAUUAUUGAUAAGUUACAAAGAAGCUAUAGAGGAGCUUACAAACAUUCAAUAUUAGUAUGAUAAUUUGUAAUUGGCUACUAAGAGGCCUAGUUCAAACAGAACCCUUCCUAGAAGGUGGCUGCGUAGAUUAGGUGCUCUUCAAAAGAAUUAUAUUUGUAUUUGAGAUUUGAAAGUUCCAUUAAUAAAAUAAAAGGCUCUAAGCGUUGAUUUUUUU